AGUUGCGUAGGUGGCAUUGUAUGUCGGUAGUGAAAGCGUCCCGCUCAACGGGAUAAACAUUAUCGAAACUGCAAAGCUAGAGGAUGAGAGAGGUUAUUGGAAUUCCCUGUGUAGGAGUGAAAUCCGUAGAUAUAGGGAGGAACACCGAUGGCGUAGGCAGAUAACUGGCUCAUUCCUGACACUAAGGCACGAAAGCGUGGGGAGCAAACGGGAUUAGAUACCCCGGUAGUCCACGCCGUAAACGAUGGAUGCUAGCUGUAAGAGGUAUCGACCCCUCUUGUAGCGAAGCUAACGCGUUAAGCAUCCCGCCUGUGGAGUACGGUCGCAAGACUAAAACAUAAAGGAAUUGACGGGGACCCGCACAAGCGGUGGAGCGUGUUGUUUAAUUCGAUGGUAAACGAAGAACCUUACCCAGGUUUGACAUCCUUGGAAUUUUGCCGAAAGGCGAGAGUGCUUUAUUGAGCCAAGUGACAGGUGUUGCAUGGCCGUCGUCAGCUCGUGUCGUGAGAUGUUUGGUUAAGUCCAUCAACGAGCGCAACCCUUAUGGUCUGUUGUAUUUCUCAGGCCAGACUGCCCUGGCAACAGGGAGGAAGGGGGGGAUGAUGUCAGGUCA
rnacentral:rRNA from 1 species